rnacentral:rRNA from 1 species
AAGUUUCAACAACGGAUCUCUUGGUCUCGCAUCGAUGAAGAACGCAGCGAAAUGCGAUAAGUAAUGUGAAUUGCAGAAUUCAGUGAAUCAUCGAAUCUUUGAACGCACCUUGGGCUCCUUGGAUUCCUCGGAGCAUGCCUGUUGAGUAUCU